UGGGGGAUAUUGCGCAAUGGGGGAAACCCUGACGCAGCAACGCCGCGUGAAGGACGAAGGUUUUCGGAUUGUAAACUUCUUUUGUCAGGGACGAAGAAAUGACGGUACCUGACGAAUAAGCUCCGGCUAACUACGUGCCAGCAGCCGCGGUAAUACGUAGGGAGCGAGCGUUGUCCGGAAUUACUGGGUGUAAAGGGUGCGUAGGCGGCAGAGCAAGUCAGAUGUGAAAUACACGGGCUUAACCCGUGGGCUGCAUUUGAAACUGUUCAGCUUGAGUGGAGCAGAGGCAGGCGGAAUUCCCGGUGUAGCGGUGAAAUGCGUAGAGAUCGGGAGGAACACCAGUGGCGAAGGCGGCCUGCUGGGCUUUAACUGACGCUGAGGCACGAAAGCGUGGGUAGCAAACA
rnacentral:rRNA from 1 species